AGUUUGAUCAUGGUUCAGAUUGAACGCUGGCGGCAGGCCUAACACAUGCAAGUCGAGCGGAAACGAUGGAAGCUUGCUUCCAGGCGUCGAGCGGCGGACGGGUGAGUAAUGCAUAGGAACCUGCCCGGUAGUGGGGAUAACCUGGGGAAACCCAGGCUAAUACCGCAUACGUCCUACGGGAGAAAGCAGGGGAUCUUCGGACCUUGCGCUAUCGGAUGAGCCUAUGUCGGAUUAGCUGGUUGGUGAGGUAACGGCUCACCAAGGCGACGAUCCGUAGCUGGUCUGAGAGGAUGAUCAGCCACAUCGGGACUGAGACACGGCCCGAACUCCUACGGGAGGCAGCAGUGGGGAAUAUUGGACAAUGGGCGAAAGCCUGAUCCAGCCAUGCCGCGUGUGUGAAGAAGGCUUUCGGGUUGUAAAGCACUUUCAGUGGGGAAGAAAUCCUCGGGGCCAAUACCCUCGAGGGAGGACAUCACCCACAGAAGAAGCACCGGCUAACUCCGUGCCAGCAGCCGCGGUAAUACGGAGGGUGCGAGCGUUAAUCGGAAUUACU
rnacentral:rRNA from 1 species